UACGUAGGGUGCGAGCGUUAAUCGGAAUUACUGGGCGUAAAGUGUGCGCAGGCGGCCGAGCAAGUCGAGUGUGAAAGCCCCCGAGCUUAACUUGGGAACUGCGCUCGAAACUACUUGGCUAGAGUGUGGCAGAGGGGAGGUGGAAUUCCACGUGUAGCGGUGAAAUGCGUAGAGAUGUGGAGGAACACCGAUGGCGAAGGCAGCCUCCUGGGCCAACACUGACGCUCAUGCACGAAAGCGUGGGGAGCAAACAGG
rnacentral:rRNA from 1 species